rnacentral:rRNA from 1 species
UACAUGUGGGGCAAGCGUUGUUCGGAAUUACUGGGCGUAAAGCGCGCGCAGGCGGUCUUCCAAGUCAGUGGUGAAAGCCCGGAGCUCAACUCCGGAACUGCCAUUGAAACUGUUAGACUUGAGGACGAGAGAGGUGAGUGGAAUUCCCAGUGUAGAGGUGAAAUUCGUAGAUAUUGGGAAGAACACCGGUGGCGAAGGCGGCUCACUGGCUCGUUUCUGACGCUCAGGCGCGACAGCGUGGGGAUCAAACAGG